rnacentral:rRNA from 1 species
CACGUAGGGGGCAAGCGUUGUCCGGAUUUAUUGGGCGUAAAGAGCUCGUAGGUGGUUCGGUAAGUCGGGUGUGAAACCUCCAGGCUCAACCUGGAGACGCCACCCGAUACUGCCGUGACUAGAGUCCAGUAGGGGAGCGUGGAAUUCCUGGUGUAGCGGUGAAAUGCGCAGAUAUCAGGAAGAACACCCGUGGCGAAGGCGGCUCUCUGGGACGGUACUGACGCUGAGACGCGAAAGCGUGGGGAGCGAACAGG